rnacentral:rRNA from 1 species
ACGGGGUGCAGCAGGCGCGAAAACUUUGCAAUGUGCGAAAGCACGACAAGGUUAAUCCGAGUGGUUUCUGCUAAAGAAACCUUUUGUUAGUCGUAGAAACACUAACGAAUAAGGGGUGGGCAAGUUCUGGUGUCAGCCGCCGCGGUAAAACCAGCACCUCAAGUGGUCAGGAUGAUUAUUGGGCCUAAAGCAUCCGUAGCCGGCUCUGUAAGUUUUCGGUUAAAUCUGUACGCUUAACGUACAGGCUGCCGGGAAUACUGCAGAGCUAGGGAGUGGGAGAGGUAGACGGUACUCGGGAGGAAGUGGUAAAAUGCUUUGAUCUCUCGAUGACCACCUGUGGCGAAGGCGGUCUACCAGAACACGUCCGACGGUGAGGGAUGAAAGCUGGGGGAGCAAACCGGAUUAGAUACCCGGGUAGUCCCAGCUGUAAACUAUGCAAACUCAGUGAUGCAUUGGCUUGUGGCCAAUGCAGUGUUGCAGGGAAGCCGUUAAGUUUGCCGCCUGGAAGUACGUACGCAAGUA